ensembl:miRNA microRNA 383
CUCAGAUCAGAAGGUGAUUGUGGCUUUGGGUAGAUAUUAAUCAGCCACAGCACUGCCUGGUCAGAAAGAG